GGAUGCGAUCAUACCAGCACUAAAGCGCCGGAUCCCAUCAGAACUCUGAAGUUAAGCGUGCAUGGGCGAGAGUAGUACUAGGAUGGGUGACUUCCUGGGAAGUCCUCGUGUUCCAUUCC
rnacentral:rRNA from 2 species